GGGGGGGGGGGGGGGGGGGGGGAGGGGGGGGGGGUGGGGGGGGGGGUGGGGGUUGGGCGGUGGUAAGCAUGGCGGGCGGGUGAGUAACGGGUGAGGAACUUGCCUGCGGGACUGGGCUAGGAGGAGGAAACUGCUGAUAAUACCGGAUAAGGUCAUUAAGAUGCAUAGCUUAGUGAUGAAAGGAGACGCCUGCGGAGAGCCUUGCGUCCUCUUAGCUGGUUGGAGGGGUAACGGCCCACCAAGGCGAAGAUAGGGAGCCGGCCUGAGAGGGUGGACGGCCACAAGGGGACGGAGAUACGGCCCUUACGCCCACGGGAGGCAGCAGUGGGGAAUAUUGGACAAUGGGGGCAACCCUGAUCCAGCAAUUCUGUGUGCACGAAGACGGUUUUCGGAUUGUAAAGUGCUUUCAGCAGGGAAGAAGGAAGUGACGGUACCUGCAGAAGAAGCGACGGCUAAAUACGUG
rnacentral:rRNA from 1 species